AUUGAACGCUGGCGGCAUGCCUUACACAUGCAAGUCGAACGGUAACAGGUUAAGCUGACGAGUGGCGAACGGGUGAGUAAUGUAUCGGAACGUGCCCAGUCGUGGGGGAUAACUGCUCGAAAGAGCAGCUAAUACCGCAUACGACCUGAGGGUGAAAGCGGGGGAUCGCAAGACCUCGCGCGAUUGGAGCGGCCGAUAUCAGAUUAGGUAGUUGGUGAGGUAAAGGCUCACCAAGCCGACGAUCUGUAGCUGGUCUGAGAGGACGACCAGCCACACUGGGACUGAGGCACGGCCCAGACUCCUACGGGAGGCAGCAGUGGGGAAUUUUGGACAAUGGGCGCAAGCCUGAUCCAGCCAUGCCGCGUGCGGGAAGAAGGCCUUCGGGUUGUAAACCGCUUUUGUCAGGGAAGAAAAGGUUCUGGCUAAUACCUGGGACUCAUGACGGUACCUGAAGAAUAAGCACCGGCUAACUACGUG
rnacentral:rRNA from 1 species